CGGCGAGUGAAGCGGCAACAGCUCAAAUUUGAAAUCUGGCUCUUUCAGGGUCCGAGUUGUAAUUUGUAGAAGAUGCUUCGGGUGUGGCUCCGGUCUAAGUUCCUUGGAACAGGACGUCAUAGAGGGUGAGAAUCCCGUAUGUGACUGGUUGCCUUCGCCCAUGUGAAGCUCUUUCGACGAGUCGAGUUGUUUGGGAAUGCAGCUCAAAAUGGGUGGUAAAUUUCAUCUAAAGCUAAAUAUUGGCCAGAGACCGAUAGCGCACAAGUAGAGUGAUCGAAAGAUGAAAAGCACUUUGGAAAGAGAGUUAAACAGUACGUGAAAUUGUUGAAAGGGAAGCGCUUGCAACCAGACUUGCGCGUGGUUGAUCAUCCGGGGUUCUCCCCGGUGCACUCGAUCACGCUCAGGCCAGCAUCGGUUUGGGUGGUUGGAUAAAGGCCUUGGGAAUGUGGCUUCCUUCGGGGAGUGUUAUAGCCCUCGGUGCAAUGCAGCCUACCCGGACCGAGGACCGCGCUUCGGCUAGGAUGCUGGCGUAAUGGUUGUAAGCGACCCGUCUU
rnacentral:rRNA from 1 species